CUAUCAUGGUAAAUAUGGUAAAACAGGCUCAUCUACCAUGGUGAAUAUGGUAAAACAGGUUCAUCUAUCAUGGUAAAACAGGCUCAUUUAUCAUGGUAAAUAUGGUAAAACAGGCUCAUCUAUCAUGGUAAAUAUGGUAAAACAGGCUCCAUCUAUCAUGGUAAAUAUGGUAAAACAGGCUCAUCUAUCAUGGUAAAUAUGGUAAAACAGGCUCAUCUAUCAUGGUAAAUAUGGUACAACAGGCUCAUCUAUCAUGGUAAAUAUGGUAAAACAGGCUCAUCUAUCAUGGUAAAUAUGGUAAAACAGGCUCAUCUAUCAUGGUAAAUAUGGUAAAACAGGCUCAUCUAUCAUGGUAAAUAUGGUAAAACAGGCUCAUCUAUCAUGGUAAAAAUGGAAAAACAGGCUCAUCUAUCAUGGUAAAUAUGGUAAAACAGGCUCAUCUAUCAUGGUAAAUAUGGUACAACAGGCUCAUCUAUCAUGGUGAAUAUGGUACAACAGGCUCAUCUAUCAUGGUAAAUAUGGUACAACAGGCUCAUCUAUCAUGGUGAAUAUGGUACAACAGGCUCAUCUAUCAUGGUAAAUAUGGUAAAACAGGCUCAUCUAGCAUGGUAAAUAUGGUACAACAGGCUCAUCUAUCAUGGUGAAUAUGGUACAACAGGCUCAUCUAUCAUGGUAAAUAUGGUAAAACAGGCUCAUCUAUCAUGGUAAAUAUGGUAAAACAGGCUCAUCUAUCAUGGUAAAUAUGGUAAAACAGGCUCAUCUAUCAUGGUAAAUAUGGUAAAACAGGCUCAUCUAUCAUGGUAAAUAUGGUAAAACAGGUUCAUCUAUCAUGGUAAAA